rnacentral:rRNA from 1 species
UACAGAGGUCUCAAGCGUUGUUCGGAUUCAUUGGGCGUAAAGGGUGCGUAGGCGGCGCGGUAAGUCGGGUGUGAAAUCUCGGAGCUUAACUCCGAAACUGCAUUCGAUACUGCCGUGCUUGAGGACUGGAGAGGAGACUGGAAUUUACGGUGUAGCGGUGAAAUGCGUAGAUAUCGUAAGGAAGACCAAUGGCGAAGGCAGCUCGCUGGAACGGUACUGACGCUGAGGCGCGAAAGCGUGGGGAGCAAACAGG